rnacentral:rRNA from 1 species
UACGGGGGGAGCAAGCGUUGUUCGGAUUUACUGGGCGUAAAGGGCGCGUAGGCGGUCAGCACAAGUCAGUUGUGAAAUCUCCGGGCUUAACUCGGAAAGGUCAACUGAUACUGUGCGACUAGAGUGCGGAAGGGGCAACUGGAAUUCUCGGUGUAGCGGUGAAAUGCGUAGAUAUACGGAGGAACACCAGCGGCGAAGGCGGGUAGCUGGGCCAACACUGACGCUGAUGUGCGAAAGCUAGGGGAGCAAACGGG